rnacentral:tRNA from 1 species
GCGGGUGUCGUAUAACGGCGAUUAUGUGACCUUCCCGCGCUUGAGACGAGAGUACGACUCCCUCCACCCGCACCA